UUUUCCUUUUCUUUUUCUUUUUCUUUGUCUUCUUCUUCUUCUUUCUUCUCGAAAAACACAAAGAAUGGAGAAAGCCCAGGGAUUAAAAGAGGAGGGGAACUUGAAGUUCAAAGAAAAGAAAUAUG
rnacentral:ribozyme from 13 species